UUCAAAUCUUUUAUUUUUUUUUUAAAUAUAGUGGUUGUUAUUUUUUUCGAGUGGAUAAUGUUCUUAAUCAGAGGUACCAGUGGAAAAGUGUGCCUGCUUGAGUUGCUCUUCCUCUGCAAAUAGAAGAACAUAGCCCUAAGAAGUCUCAGCACUGGUGUGAGCCCCACUGUUCUAUCAGUGUCACCUGCUCUUGGUGUAGACACCACUCCUCCAUUUGCCAUCUACUUGCUGAAGUAUGGGAGCUGUGCAGAACCAGGAGGAUCCAGAUUGUUUGUCUGGCAGCACAGGAUGACACAUUGGCUGCUGCUGGAAACAGUAUACAGUUUAUCCAGUAUACUGGGAUGUGAGAGCAGGGAAAAGGGAAGAAGCACCAUUUCCUCCAUCUCUCAAGCCUGAAAGUGUAGUAUCUUUUUUCUGUGUUGUUCACUUAAAAAAAAAAAAAAAAUGUGCUGUGUCAUAUAAUCCUGUCUGCCUAGCUAUGCCUUGUAACAGCAGCAACUAUAAAUGCAGAGGAAACGAUUGCUGCAGCUUUUAUCAGAGACAUCUCUUUGGAUUUAUUAAGUAAUACAAGGAAGAGGUAUCUGUGAGGCAGAUAAAUAAAGACCUGUUCCAAAGCCCCAAGUGAGGCAGCGGGAAGGCUCGACUGUUUCUUAGAGGCUCAGCGUCUGCUGCGAAGCCUGCAGAGCGGCGAAAUGUAUUGCAUUUUGUGAUUUAUUUGUAAUUACUGUAUCAAGGCACUCUGACUUGAACGCAUGAUGAUCUGUGUAUUUGUAAGGUGCCAAAAAUAUCCUGGUGGUUCUGUGGCACGUGACCAGCUCGUGUCCAAGAAUUGCUCAAGUCUUCAUUUCAUUGAGUUUACAGAGGGCUGAUAACUCCUUGCAAAAUAAGGCUGGAAAUGCUGGGGCAGUUUUCUGUUGCCAAAUUCUGUUGCAGCUGCUGAAGUGUAUAUAUAUAAAAAAAAAAAUCAAAGCAAUUUCCCUUCCUCCUGUGAAAUAGUUACAUUGUUGGUGUGAAUGUGUAAUAAACAUGAGAAAUAUGA